ACCCGGGGAACUGAAACAUCUAAGUACCCGGAGGAAGAGAAAGCAAAGGCGAUUCCCUGAGUAGCGGCGAGCGAAACGGGAUUAGCCCAAACCAAGAGGCUUGCCUCUUGGGGUUGUAGGACACUCUAUACGGAGUUACAAAAGAACGAGGUAGAUGAAGAGGUCUGGAAAGGCCCGCCAUAGGAGGUAACAGCCCUGUAGUCAAAACUU
rnacentral:rRNA from 1 species